CGCCCCGCCCCGCCGGACGGGCCUGCGGCGGCUGCACCGCCGGGCCCUGCACGGCAUGGCACUGCACGGCAUGAUAUGGAAUGGCAUGGUACGGUAUAGAUGUGUCACAGCAUGGCCUGGCACAUCACUGCAGGGGGUGGUGAAGUUCGGUGUGGUGUGGCACCGCCUAGCAUGGUGCUUGCUGAGGCUCCAGCCCUAGUGCCGUGUAGGCAUAGGCCAAGCACAAGAACCACUGUCCCCGUCCUGGCCCUGGCCAUGCACGGCAGGACAGUGCCAGGAUGGUGCCACCAUUGUCCCAGGAUGCUGCCAAGGUGCCGCGAGGUGAUGAUGCUGCAGCCACUGUGGCCUCUCUCAGCUGGAUUGGAUUUCCCCCAGCUGAAGGUGGAAAGGGCAGGGGUGAAAUACAUUUAACUAUGGAAAUGGAAAAAAUACACUAGGAGAAAACAGAGAAGAAAGGAGAGGGAGACUGAAGGAGUAAGGAAAGCUCUGUGCCACCAGGGGAUGGCUGAAGGCCUUGGAUGGACACCAACUGCAGUUGGGCUGGUGGCAGCACUGGUAAAAUGAACCACUGGCCACCAUGACCACCCUCCAUCCCCACCAUGCACCAUUAGCCCAAGGCAAUGCCACCCCAUCCCUGUCUCUGUCCCAUUUCCAUCAAGAAAACCAGACAAAAGACUUUA